AGAGGAACUGGCCGAGCUUGGCCGUCAGCGUCCUCGGCGCCUUGUCCUGGCCGGAGGAGCCCGACACCAGUACGUUGAAAGCCCUGUAGAAAGUGUACGGUCCGUGGGAACCGCAGGGAGAGCCGAUCCACUGGAGUCGAGCGGCUCCAUAUCUCCUCCAGCAGUCGGCUGAACAGCUAGGUCCUGGCAGCUGCGCACCUCGCGAUUUAGUUUAGAAAAAACAAUAAAGCGAGGGAAGAAAUAAAAGGGCUGCAAGGAUGGAAGGUUUGACGUCACUGGGAUGAUUGAGUGGGAAGGAGUUUCCAGCGGGCAACCUGGGAUUGGGAAAGGAUUCCCUGCAAAGAAAGUGUUGCCACUUGGAUCCGUCAGUGAUUUUAUCAGUGGCGUGGAGGACAAUUAGAGAUCUGCAAACCAAGCAGAUACAAUGUGGGAAUGUUGCGGUUAUAUCAUCUUCAUGGGAUUGUUCGUUCCGAGGGAAAUUGCUAGUCCCAGCUAGAAAGGAGAGCUACUGAGGAGAUUCCUGGAAAUGUCAUAUUCAGUACACGGUCUCUGCACAUAGAAAUGUUGGAAAACUGGCAUUGCUGACGCCCAGAAUUCCCAUCGUCUUCUCAAACAACCUCUCCGGAUGGAGGGUAACUUGCUUCCACUCUGUUUUUACAUGUUCCCAUGAGACUAAUGUGGGACCAUCAGUUUCCCAAAGGCAGGGCAGGAGGUCGGUGAUUGGGGAGGGGAGUAGUUAGAGCGGUGGUCCACUGUUUACUGGGGGCUUCCUUGUGCAUGUAAUGACUACAAACGCAAAUCAAGCGUGAAUAAUAUGCUGACUCCUCUCGGAUGGGAUACCCUAGAGCUCCGCACAAUCAGGCUAAGAUUGCAAUUUACAAGCAGAUUCACGAAAUCACGCCAUUAAAUCUUCCGUCAUCCCAGUGCACCAACUGCCAUGAAACAAGACAAAAUAAUGGUCCCUACAUCAUCAACUCGCUAAAUUUCAAUAAGCUUUGCUACCAAUAUUCCCUUUACCCAAGGACAAUAAGGGAAUGGAAUAUGUUACCACCCAACACACGUGCUGCUCCCGAUGUUAAGUCAUUUUAAGUCAUGUUAAGUCACAUUGAGCAACUAGAUCUCCUCAACUUGGUCUAAAAGGCCCACUUCAAAAUGUAAUCACUACUCUACUCACUUGACCAGCGCGAAAUAACCGCUUACGAGUUUGUGCAGUAAUCGACCAGAACCAGAACCAGCAUGGACUUGAGGUUGCCAACAUCAUCCCUUAAUGCUCCUUCUCCACCUUGAGCAGGACGUGACCCAAGGGCCACAAGAGAUUUUCCAUGUUUUACAUGGAAACUUUGAACAUAUCUUGAAAUAUUUUCCUUUGUUACUUUUGUAAUAUCUUCCCGUGACAGGGUUUAUAAUAGAGUUCUACUCUCAGUAGAAUGUAAAGGAGAGGAUUUUUGAACAGGGAUAUCAUAUUCGUGAAUAAAGUCAUUAAAGAUAAAUGUAUACCAGGGGAUUGGAGAUUGGAACUCUGCCAAUACAGUUACCAAGUUGUUGGGAUUGUGAGUACGGUUUUUGAUGGGAAAUCUGGGAUAAGUAGGGCAGAACAGGAGGAGACAUUAAACAAUGGAUUGGGCAUAAUAGGACUUUGAAUAGAAAUCUAAGAAGCCAACAAUUGAUCAAUAGUGGCAUUCCACUUGUCCACCUGUGUGAAAAAGUAGCCUCUCAGAUUUCUAUUGGAUUUUUCUCUUCUCAACAUGGGACUAGAGUGUUAAAUUUGUUCAUGACAUGUAUUUUUUAUUUUUAUUUCUAUUUAUUUUUUCAUGUACACUGAAUGGACACUGGUUGAGCAACGUUUUUUUGUUUCCUCUGGGUAUGCGAAUACUCAGGAAAUGACAAUAAAGAUAUACAAUACAAUACAAUACUAUGUCCUCUGGUUCUUGAAUCCCCUACUCUGGGUUAAAAACUCUACAUCCUCCCUAUCUAUUCUUUUCAUGAUUUUAUGCACUUCUUUCAGUUCACCCCUCAGCCUCCUGUGCUCCAAGGAAUAAAGUCCUAGCCUGCCUAACCUCCCCCUAUAUAUAGCCUGGGACCCCAAGUCCUGGCAAUGUCCUCGUAAAUCUUCAGUGCACUCUUUCCAUCUUAAGACUAUAUCAACAAUAUUGCACCUAUAUCACUUACCCCUUCUGGCAGGUCGUUUCACAUACCCACCACCCUAUGUGUGAAAAUGUUGCCCCUCAGGUUCCUAUUAAAUCUUUCCCCUCUCAUCUUACAACUAUGCCCUCUGGUUCAUGAUUUCCCUCCUCUGGGUAAAAUCUCCAGAACCCACUGCCUCACUUACCCUGUCCACCAAGCUACCCAAAAUCUCCUCGAGGAGCCGUUGAACCUUCAGAGAUAGGCUGAACCUGAAGCCCACCUGCCCACGAUGGGCUGAAUGCUGCAAAUGGAUGAGUGUUUAGUUUAGCUUCGUUUAGAGACACAGCCUGGAAACAGACCAUUCGGCCCACCGAGUCCGCGCUGACUAUCAUUAUCUGAAACGCUCUGCCAGGGGUGGUGGUGGAGGCAGUUACAAUAGUGGUUUUUAAAAGAUUUCAGAUGGAUAUGCAGGGAAUAAAUUGAGGUACAUUUAGAAUGAAGAUGAGGAUGAAUUUAUUUCGUAGGAUGGUGAUGGAUCUGUGGAAUUCAUUGCCACAGACCGCGGUGGAGCCCAUGUCAUUAGGUAUUUUUAAAGCGGAGAUUAACAGGUGCUUGAUUAGUAAAGACGACAAAGGUAACAGGGGGAAGGCAGGAGAUCUUGUUUGAGAGACCCCAGAGAUACAAAUCCUCAUGUUCAAAUUCGCGGGAGGCAUUUUGAUACAGGGUCAAUAUUUCUUUAAAGAUUUAGUCAAAUGUUAUUAUGUUGUAUUGAAUGUUCAGCAGUAGAUGAUUGUUGAUUUGAUAGUUUUGUUUUUAAUAAACCUUCUCUGAUAA